AAAAAAAAAAAAAGAAAGAAAUAAAACUGUGAAGUUAUGGAGACUAUAGUUCUGCACCUUUUAUUUGUCUGUUUAAUAAAAGAUUAUUUUUUCACCAUGUAAUUUUAAAAAGCACUUACUGCAGUAAAUUAAAAAAUCAGCUUAAUGAAGUACAUCAUCAUUUUCACCACAUUGUUAUCCACCACUACCAGUUCACCAAAACUAUCACUAUCAUCAAAACCAUCACCAGCACUGCCGCCUACAACUAUGAUCAUCACUACCAUCAUCAAUAUGGUUGUGACCUACAAUUACCAUUAGUUUCCCUAUCACCAUCACCCCACCACUAUCAGCACCAUCACAGCAACCAUUACUGCUAUAACGAUCCACCACAACACUGCCAGAAGUGCAAUGUUUGAUUUAAAGAUGGAAGAAAGGAAGGAUGGAAGACAAAGAAACUGAAGAAUAGAGAAGGGGAUGGAUGAACGUCUAUCUUUCCUUUGGUAUGUUUGGUUAGAGAAUGUUAUUCUCCCCAUUUUUUACAUUGCCAAAAAAUUCCAAUAAAAAGAUUCAUCAAUAGGCAUUAGAUAUAGGGGUAAAAUAAACUUUGUUCUUCCAAUAUUCCCAAUUUGGGAUAACAGAUUUUUAUGGGCCCAACAGGAAGGAUGACUUCCCUUCAUUUUUUUCCUCCAACCAAACAAUGGAAAUGUACCCUUAUCUGAAUCUUUCUCCUCAUCUUUUUCCUUCCCUCCCCACUUUCCUCUCAACCAAACAUAGAGUACAAGUGUCCAUGACCACCACUUUCAUUAUUAUGUUAACCAUUUUAUUGGUUUCUUUACAACUUUCGUUAGUAUAUUUGGAUAAUAUAAUUAAAUUUAUAGCUCAUAGUCCAGUUAUAAAAUAUUAGCACUUAAAUUUAAGCUUGUAGAUUAACAAUUUUUGGAUAUUGAUAAGGAAUUAGUUUCAAACAUAGCUGAAUGGCAAAAAAUGAUUCA
rnacentral:misc_RNA from 1 species